UUUAUUUUAAGAACAGAGAUUUCUCUGUUUGAAUAACUUAAGAUCGCUACGACAUAAUUUGUAACAUCAUUUUUCUCUCCCAACAUCUUAUAAUUUUAUUUACAUCUUCUAUUUCAUAGUGUUAAUAUAUUAUAUCUCUUACGUUUAAUACACUUAAAUACUUUACACGAUAUUUUUAUUGUAGUUUUACACAAACGGCAAUCUGUGUAUAUUUUUACUUGCUCUUUCUUCUUGUUCAAGUCGGCUCUUGAAUUGCUGUACGCGUUCUGUGAAGAGAAGAAAGUAAUUUAACACCAAGGUUAAGAUUGCUAAAUACACCCAAUGAAUACACAGACUUUUGGCAUUUCGCUCGACAGAACUAACAGUUUAAGCUUU